GUCUGGGUCACGUUUGUUUUGUUCGUCCGUUUUGUAUAUGUCAUCUAAUAGGGCGGUCAGUCGGGCUUCGGUUUGUUUUUUUAGUAUUGCCCCUUGUUGGAUAUAGUGACCUCUUAUCACACUUUUGUGUGCCUCCCAGCGUAUCGUCGGCGAUGUCUGCUCCGUCGUGUUGGUGGUAAGGUAUUCUCUGAUUUUAUCGCCUAUAAGGGUCGUGACUCCCGGGUGGGAGAGUAGGUAUUCAUUGAGUCUCCAUUUCGGAGAUGUGGGGCGAAAUAGUGGUGACUUUAUUUUGAG